UGUCUGAAUUGGGGAAAAUAACUGGAUUUUUUUUCUCACCUUUGGUCCAGAUGCCAGUGAUUUCAUCCCACUUGGAAUUUCCAUCACUUAACCAGCUUGCACCACUAAACUCUGUGGAGACAACGCACAGAGUGCCAACCAACUUCAUCUCAUUUACAGUACUGUGUGUGAGCAUCUUGAGAUCUUUGUCUCCAAGACCUAAUCCCAUCUUUGGCCUACAGUAUGUGGGUUGGCAAACUAUAACCUGUGGCCCAAAUCUGGC
rnacentral:lncRNA from 1 species